CCUACGGGUGGCAGCAGUGGGGAAUAUUGCACAAUGGGCGCAAGCCUGAUGCAGCGACGCCGCGUGAGCGAUGAAGGCCUUCGGGUCGUAAAGCUCUGUCCUAAGGGAAGAAUAAUGACGGUACCUUAGGAGGAAGCCCCGGCUAACUACGUGCCAGCAGCCGCGGUAAUACGUAGGGGGCGAGCGUUAUCCGGAAUCACUGGGCGUGAAGGGUGCGGAGGCGGCCCUGCAAGUCAGGAGUUAAAUCCCUCGGCUCAACCGAGGUCAGCUCUUGAAACUGUAGGGCUGGAGUGCAGGAGAGGAGGGCGGAAUUCCUAGUGUAGCGGUGAAAUGCGUAGAUAUUAGGAGGAACACCAGUGGCGAAGGCGACUCUCCGGACUGUAACUGACGCUGAGGCACGAAAGCGUGGGGAGCAAACGGGAUUAGAUACGCGGGUAGUC
rnacentral:rRNA from 1 species